rnacentral:misc_RNA from 1 species
GAUGAAGAACGCAGUGAAAUGCGAUAAGUAGUGUGAAUUGCAGAAUUCAGUGAAUCAUCGAAUCUUUGAACGCACAUUGCGCCCCUUGGUAUUCCAUGGGGCAUGCCUGUUCGAGCGUCAUUUGUACCUUCAAGCUCUGCUUGGUGUUGGGUGUUUGUCUCGCCUUUGCGUGUAGACUCGCCUCAAAACAAUUGGCAGCCGGCGUAUUGAUUUCGGAGCGCAGUACAUCUCGCGCUUUGCACUCAUAACGACGACGUCCAAAAAGUACAUUUUUACACUCUUGACCUCGGAUCAGGUAGGGAUACCCGCUGAACUUAAGCAUAUCAAUAAGCGGAGG